AGGGAUGGUUAACUUAGUUAUUAAAAGUGGUUAAUUAUAGAAUUACGAUUAGAAUUUGGGAAUAAGGAGUAAGUAUAUAGGACUUGUAGAAGUUAGUAUGAGUGCUAGACUGUGAUAGUCAUAAGUCGGGAUUAAGCUUGGUGCUACCUCUUUGUUUUUUUGUUUUUCUUUAUUAUUGAAGAGUAAUAGGUAGUUUCUGAAUACUGAGAAGUGAAUCUGUGGAAUAAAUUAGAGAUUGAUUUAUGAGUUAUUGAUUAUGUGAUUGGAGCACUGAGUGAUUGAAUUAUAUGAAGAGUUAUUGGAAGAUUAUGAUUGUUGUUUAUUGAGAGCUAUAUGUGUUUUGGACAAAGGAAGUCUAUGAUUACAAAAAUCAUGUGAAUUCAGAUUGGUUAGAGUGAAGUCUGUUAUUUUUG
rnacentral:lncRNA from 1 species